GAUGAACGCUGGCGGCGUGCCUAAUACAUGCAAGUCGAGCGAACAGAUGAGGAGCUUGCUCCUCUGACGUUAGCGGCGGACGGGUGAGUAACACGUGGAUAACCUACCUAUAAGACUGGGAUAACUUCGGGAAACCGGAGCUAAUACCGGAUAAUAUAUUGAACCGCAUGGUUCAAUAGUGAAAGACGGUUUUGCUGUCACUUAUAGAUGGAUCCGCGCCGCAUUAGCUAGUUGGUAAGGUAACGGCUUACCAAGGCAACGAUGCGUAGCCGACCUGAGAGGGUGAUCGGCCACACUGGAGGUGAGCCACGGUCCAGACUCCUACGGGAGGCAGCAGUAGGGAAUCUGCCGCAAUGGGCGAAAGCCUGACGGAGCAACGCCGCGUGAGUGAUGAAGGUCUUCGGAUCGUAAAACUCUGUUACUAGGGAAGAACCAAUGUGUAAGUAACUAUGCACGUCUUGACGGUACCUAAUCAGAAAGCCACGGCUAACUACGUG
rnacentral:rRNA from 1 species